rnacentral:rRNA from 1 species
AGUAACGGCGAGUGAAGCGGCAACAGCUCAAAUUUGAAAUCUGGCCUCUUUGGGGUCCGAGUUGUAAUUUGUAGAGGAUGUUUCGGGUACCGCCUCGGUUUAAAUUUCUUGGAACAGAAUGUCAAAGAGGGUGAGAAUCCCGUCUUGGACCGGCGGUAGGGCCCAUGUGAAACUCCCUCGACGAGUCGAGUUGUUUGGGA